rfam:Kwoniella mangroviensis CBS 10435 unplaced genomic scaffold supercont2.1, whole genome shotgun sequence.
GCCCUGUUAGCGCAGUGGUAGCGCAUGUGACUUCUACCCGCUGGGUCUAAAUCAUAAGGUCGCGGGUUCGACCCCCGCAUGGGGUU